rnacentral:rRNA from 1 species
AGUUUACCGAAGCUGUGGAGUGCACCAUCAGGUGCAUUGGUAGGAGAGCGUUCUAAGGGCGUUGAAGGCAGAUCGUGAGGACUGCUGGAGCGCUUAGAAGUGAGAAUGCCGGUAUGAGUAGCGAAAGACAGGUGAGAAUCCUGUCCACCGAAUGACUAAGGUUUCCUGGGGAAGGCUCGUCCGCCCAGGGUUAGUCGGGACCUAAGCCGAGGCCGACAGGCGUAGGCGAUGGACAACAGGUUGAUAUUCCUGUACCCGUUGUUUUUGUUUGAGCAAUGGAGGGACGCAGGAGGCUAAGAAGUGCAGACUGAUGGAUAUGUCUGUUCAAGCAGUAAGUCUUGGUAGGAGUCAAAUGCUUCUACCUAUACGGACAAGCUGUGAUGAGGAGGGAAAUAAUAGUACCGAAGCUUCUGAUGUCACACUGCCAAGAAAAGCUUCUAGUGAGAAAACAACGGCCCGUACCGCAAACCGACACAGGUAGUCGAGGAGAGAAUCCUAAGGUGAGCGAGAGAACUCUCGUUAAGGAACUCGGCAAAAUGACCCCGUAACUUCGGGAGAAGGGGUGCUGCUCUAACGAGCAGCCGCAGUGAAUAGGCCCAAGCGACUGUUUAUCAAAAACACAGGUCUCUGCAAAAUCGAAAGAUGACGUAUAGGGGCUGACGCCUGCCCGGUGCUGGAAGGUUAAGAGGAGUGCUUAGCGUAAGCGAAGGUA